UACGGAGGGGACUAGCGUUGUUCGGAAUUACUGGGCGUAAAGCGCACGUAGGCGGAUUUGUAAGUCAGGGGUGAAAUCCCGGGGCUCAACCUCGGAACUGCCUUUGAUACUGCAAAUCUCGAGUCCGGAAGAGGCGAGUGGAAUUCCUGGUGUAGCGGUGAAAUGCGCAGAUAUCAGGAGGAACACCGGUGGCGAAGGCGGGUCUCUGGGCCGAUAUUGACGCUGAGGAGCGAAAGCGUGGGGAGCGAACAGG
rnacentral:rRNA from 1 species